CCCUUCUUCUUCUCUUCUUCUUUCUCUUUUCUCUUCUUAGAUCUGAUCUCUAUCAGAUCUAGGCAUGGAGAUGUGAAGGGGAGAAAGAAAGGAGGUGUUGGGAAGGAGACUUUUAAUGUAAGAAAGAAGAGCUUCUUCUCUGUAGCACACGCCAUCUCUCUUCCUUUUAGUUUUUGUGCACACCUCCCAUAUCUCAUGCCCCAAAAUCUUUCUUAAUGCCC
rnacentral:lncRNA from 1 species